rnacentral:rRNA from 1 species
UACGAGGGGGCUAGUGUUGUUCGGAAUUACUGGGCGUAAAGGGCUCGUAGGCGGCCAACUAAGUCGGACGUGAAAUCCCUCAGCUUAACUGGGGAACUGCGUCCGAUACUGGAUGGCUUGAAUCCGGGAGAGGGAUGUGGAAUUCCAGGUGUAGCGGUGAAAUGCGUAGAUAUCUGGAGGAACAUCGGUGGCGAAGGCGGCAUCCUGGACCGGUAUUGACGCUGAGGCGCGAAAGCCAGGGGAGCAAACGGG